UUGGGUCCCUCUUCCUUCGGAAGUGCCACUCACCAGAUGGCCUGAACCCAGGCUUGAACCCAUUUUCUCGACUGCCAGAACUUCAUCCACCACCGACCUUCGAUUGUUUUUAUCUCAAACCACAGAUACUGCUUCUACAUCAAUGUGACAUGACACCAGGAUGACACCACACACUCUCAGUUUAUGGGUCAAGGCAAUUUCCCUUCCACUGGCUGUAAUCGGUCUGUCACCCUUAACAUUACUGGAUUCAACCAAGCCACCUCCAAUACUUCCUCGAGUCCCUGCUACAGGACCAGUGGCCGAUACCAAAAAUCUCCUCCAUCCAUGACUGGUUUGAUGCCAUCGAGGACUUGUGGCUUCAAGGAACUUUUAUGGACUUUACCCCUACCACAGUAGUUGUCUGUAGC